rnacentral:rRNA from 1 species
UACGGGGGGGUAAGCGUUGUUCGGAAUUACUGGGCGUAAAGGGCUCGUAGGCGGCCAACUAAGUCAGACGUGAAAUCCCUCAGCUUAACUGGGGAACUGCGUCUGAUACUGGAUGGCUUGGAUUCGGGAGAGGAAUGCGGAAUUCCAGGUGUAGCGGUGAAAUGCGUAGAUAUCUGGAGGAACACCGGUGGCGAAGGCGGCAUUCUGGACCGACAUUGACGCGUGAGGAGCGAAAGCCAGGGGAGCAAACGGG